rnacentral:rRNA from 1 species
CAGCAGCCGCGGUAAUACGUAGGGUGCGAGCGUUGCCCGGAUUUAUUGGGCGUAAAGGGCGCGUAGGCGGUCACGCACGUCCGUUGUGAAAUCGCUCGGCUCAACUGGGCGGGGUCAGCGGAUACGGCGUGGCUGGAGCAAGCUAGGGGGCAAUGGAAUUCCCGGUGUAGUGGUGGAAUGCGUAGAUAUCGGGAGGAACACCAGUGGCGAAGGCGGUUGCCUGGAGCUUUGCUGACGCUGAUGCGCGAAAGCGUGGGGAGCGAUCCGGAUUAGAUACCCGGGUAGUCCACGCCGUAAACGAUGCGGACUAGGUGUCGGGGGUAUCGACCCCCUCGGGGCCGCAGCUAACCCAUUAAAUCCGCCGCCUGGGGACUACGGCCGCAAGGCUAAAACUCUAAGGAAUUGACGG